rnacentral:lncRNA from 1 species
CCAAGACUCUCAGCACUGGAACUAUAAUUGUAUUCAAUUGCUGAAACAAUCUUGCACAAUAUUGAGUAGUUUUUAGGACAACGUUUUGUUUUACUGUUGCCAAAACAAGCAUAUGGCAAAAGCCGGCAGUGGGAGUGCAAGCUCAAGGAUGCAACUGUUAUCGAAUUGGUGUACACAAAUGUAUAGUCGGUUUGCGUUUCCAUGCUAUAGGGGUAAGUCUAAUUGUAAUGGAAUAAGACCAUUGCCAAUCAAAUAUUGGGUUAAACCUACUUUAAAUGCUUUGCUACAAAUAUUGUAAACCAAAUUGGGAAAUGAAAUAUCGAAGCUUGUGCAGUGCAACCCUGCAUGGAGCUGCAACGCGUUUCGCGGGUUGCAAGUUUAAAUAUACAUAGUUUAAACCCAAUAACCUUAAUUUUAACUUUUUAUUAGAUGCUGCGCAUAUAAUUUUCAAGUGUAACCGGUAUAGGAUGUCCCUUAAGCAGAAACAGCUCCAAGUCCUCCAGCACAAGUGGACAAAGUUUGGUCUCUUCGGCAAAGGAAAAGGCUCUGCCGCUCACGUGAUUCGCACCAAUCCCAAUGCAUUGCAAAGUUCCGUUUUGCUGGUAUGCGUGUGUGCGUGCCGAGCCCUGGUCUACACAGAGGCAUCUGCUUGGCAGGAAGUAGCAGAGCUGGUGGUACUUUUAUCGCUGGUAUCAAAUUACAAUUAACUCACAUUUUUAAUUUUUUUUUGGUUUUAUUUUUGCUUUUUUUUUGUUUUCUGCAAGAAC